AGCAAUCAGCAAGGACGAGAAGGACCAUAAACAUACCUAACCGAGGACAACUCUUUUUCCUCCAAUAGUAACAAAAACUCCUAAUUUAACGAAUCUUACUUCAGCAAUUUCCAAAUCCUGACUAUGUCAGUGAGCUGAUAACAGAAUAAAAUACAUCUAGACUCUCGACCUGGAUAGUACUGUCUCUCGAAAUGAAACCACAAAACAAAAUCGCUAAUUCUAAAAAAUCUCUGGAGACAUAGUUCCACAGAGAGUAAGAUGCACGUCUCAGCUUGCCAACGAGAACAUAUUCUAAUAUCAAUGAGUCUAUAUUACAAAACGAUAGUCCAUUUAGUGCUAAGUGUGAGGGAAAAGUAGGUGUAAGUGGGGUUAAGGUUGUUCGGGCAACCAGGAAUCAUUAGAGAGUUACGUUGCGCGCGCACACACACACCCCCCCCUCUCUGGCGGGCUGGGGCAAAACUAGUUCCUGGUGUCCGAUUUGUUAAAGUUUCUACUCCUGGUAAUAUUGACCUUACCUGGUGUGGAUGGAAGUUUGGAGAGUCACUUCGCCUCCACUCUUCUCCUAAUCAGCUCUGUUCCUGGCGUGGUCUUCCAGGAUAGACGCCAGAUAAAGGGGCAAGACGUGUGUUAAUAAUACUUAUUAACAUUAUUCUACAACUACCGGCCCUUACCUAUACUACUUGUGCUCCAUCCAAGUGGUAGGAGAUUCCAGAACAUCGGAUUACCAUCUGCCCAGGAUAACCUACAUAAAUAACAUCAGAGGAACUAUCUAGGGCCAUACCUACUCCUACCCAACUACCUGAAUUGAAGGCCAUAUUUUUUUUAUUAUAUUUAAAUUUUAAGUAAAAUUCUCAAAAAUCA